UCGUUUGCCUUUUUCUGCUU
rnacentral:miRNA from 6 species